rnacentral:lncRNA from 14 species
CAGCGGGGCACCGGCGCGGUGUGGGAUCAGCACUGGGGAAGCGCUGUGCGCACAGGCACACCCACAGAGCUGCGCCGGGGCUGUGAGCUGUGUCCCACGCCUCUUCCCUGCCUCAGCCGGGAUGUGUCCAGUGUCACCGAGUCAGGAUCAGAGGCAGGACCUGAUCCCCCGCCUGCAGGCAGCUGGCUGAGAUAGGUAAUGGCUGUGCGGUAGAUACCUGUGCUCCUGCCACGGGUGCUGGGAGAGAUCUAUGCGUAUCUUGAGUUCUGAGCUUCGUGUGUAUGUGCAAGGCUGAGCUGAGCUGGAGUUACCCCUCUGGCAGCUUUAAUCCCAGGAGCACCACACCUCCAGCAGCUGGUACAUGCGACCUCACAGAACAUCCUGUUGGCUGGGAGUAGCAGAGUUGGCAGGGAUGGUAUCACUAAACUUGAGCUCACUUGUCACAAUGGCAAUAGAGUUGGAAUUUAAUUAUCUGCUGGAGAGAAGCCCUGACAGCUGUGGCGUAGGUUUUUCAAUGUGGAUGUUGCCUGGAUCGCAAGAAAAAUAUCAAGGGCUGGUGAGAACAUCCAUGUUCUAA